UACGUAGGGGUGCGAGCGUUGUCCGGAAUUAUUGGGCGUAAAGAGCUCGUAGGCGGUCUGUCGCGUCGGUCGUGAAAACUUGGGGCUUAACCCUGAGCUUGCGGUCGAUACGGGCAUGACUGGAGUUCGGCAGGGGAGACUGGAAUUCCUGGUGUAGCGGUGAAAUGCGCAGAUAUCAGGAGGAACACCGAUAGCGAAGGCAGCUCGCUGGGACGGUACUGACGCUGGAGGCGCGAAAGCGUGGGGAGCGAACAGG
rnacentral:rRNA from 1 species